UAGUCCAACGAUGAACGCACACUGGGAUCUUUCUAAGGAUUACAAUGUGUGGCCUGGUAGCACGGAGCACCCCUGGCCCAGCCCUCAGAUCUUAUCCUUCACCGUCUCUGCUCGCUGCUGGUUGGCCGUUCUAUAAGCAGCAGUACAUGGUAGAGACGGCGUUGUAAGACUCAACAACGUUUAACGUCAUUUAAACGUUUGAAAACUUCAACGGUUACGCCGUAUUCGUAUUAGACGAUGAUGUAUUUGGCAAACUGAAAGUAAGUUAUGUGUUGUAAGAGCCCUUAUACUGAGUUAUAUUACGAAUGAGCCAGGGCGAAAAGGAAUUACACAGGCCACUACGUUUCACGCGUAUGUGAAACCCGAUGCCAACUUUACAAGGAA